rnacentral:rRNA from 1 species
UGGGGAAUAUUGCACAAUGGGGGAAACCCUGAUGCAGCGACGCCGCGUGAACGAAGAAGGUAUUCGUAUCGUAAAGUUCUGUCCUAUGGGAAGAUAAUGACAGUACCAUAGAAGAAAGCUCCGGCUAAAUACGUGCCAGCAGCCGCGGUACUACGUAUGGAGCGAGCGUUGUCCGGAAUUAUUGGGCGUAAAGGGUACGCAGGCGGUUUAAUAAGUCGAAUGUUAAAGAUCGGGGCUCAACCCCGCAAAGCAUUGGAAACUGAUAAACUUGAGUAGUGGAGAGGAGAGUGGAAUUCCUAGUGUAGUGGUGAAAUACGUAGAUAUUAGGAGGAAUACCAGUAGCGAAGGCGACUUUCUGGACACAAACUGACGCUGAGGUACGAAAGCGUGGGGAGCAAACAAG